UAUAACAGCGCGACAUGUUUGCUAAUGGUUGUGCAUGAGCAGAAGGCCCGCCCGCAUCAAAUAGCCUAAACAGCGAUGAAAACAAGGUACCUUCACAGGGCUGUCGAAGAGGCCGUUGAGCUUGGCAAAGCUUCCGGUGGAGUCGGAGCAGGACGGGGCGGACUCGGUGUCCUUGUGGACGUGCCUGGGCUUGCGCAGGAAGGAGUCUCUGUAGCAGAACACCACCAGGCCCGCGAGCAGCGCCCCCAGGAGGAAGGCAGCGAACACACAGGUGAUGAGGAUGUUCAUGUGGACCAUCUGGUUGGCCUCUCCUGCCUGGAUCUCCCACACGCCUACAAACAGACACAGGCAUUGGUUGAACACACCUGACGCAGCCAAUCACAGUGCUCCUUACAGCACCUCCUGAGCGGUGAACCAUAACUGCUGUAACACCUGAGAAGGUAAGAACUGGAGAACAUGGUGAAAAUUGGCAGGAAGGAUCAGGUGCCCGAGACAAGUCCACACAAGUGAGCCCAUCAACAGAAAGGUAGUGCUAUGUUAGUCGAAAAUGAAGACGUUGAUUGUUGCGCUGUCAUACCCACUCAAUUCAGAUAGUUUCUUAUUGACCGCAUGCAUGUCACUACGUUAAAAAGAUAGAAAAGCGGACCCCUAUUCAGAGAAAAUAAAGCAGAACCGGAGAGAUCCUCAAAACUCGUUUCCAGACGCGUGAGGUGGAGCUCUAGGCGUGUCA